rnacentral:rRNA from 1 species
UACAGAGGGGGCAAGCGUUGUUCGGAAUUACUGGGCGUAAAGGGCGCGUAGGCGGCCUUCUAAGUCGAACGUGAAAUCCCCGGGCUCAACCCGGGAACUGCGUCCGAUACUGGAAGGCUUGAAUCCGGGAGAGGGAUGCGGAAUUCCUGGUGUAGCGGUGAAAUGCGCAGAUAUCAGGAGGAACACCAAUUGCGAAGGCAGCUCGCUGGGACGUUACUGACGCUGAGACGCGAAAGCGUGGGGAGCAAACAGG